rnacentral:lncRNA from 1 species
AAACUGUUCCAAAUCUAUUUCUUCUCAUUAUGUACAAUCAGGUAUACACUCUUGUUCUUUUAAUGUUUCGUUAACUUGCCCUAGUUAGAUCAUAGACACAAGUACUGAGCAUAUGACCGGGUCCUCUAAUCUCUUUACCUCUUACACGCCUUGUUCUAGCAAAGACAAGGUUUGAGUAGCUAAUGGUUCCUUUUCUCCUAUCUCCGGGAGUGAUUCAGUAGUUUGUGCUCCUUUAUUAACAUUAUCAUCUGUUCUUCAUAUUCCUUUAUUUCAACGUUUUACCGAAUCAUUACUCAAUCACUUUUUUUUCAAUUCAUUGUGUUUUUCAGGGCUUGGUGACGAGGCAAAAGAUUGACAGUGGUAGUGCAGUUGGUGGUCUAUAUUAUUUGGAUGUUUCCUCGUCUAACAUGCCUCUGAUUAUAGAUGAGACUACUACUUAGGCUUUUCAUCUACUUUUGAAUCUAACCUGACUUCUCUUCAUGAAUGACAUCGGCGUC